GCAGUUGGCAGGCUGCUGCGGGAGGCGGUGGCGGUAGGAAGCCGGAGACAGCAGGGUGACAGAGAUAAAAGAGGAGUAGAAGGUAAAAGAAAAUGCUGGGAACUGACCGUUGUGUUGUGGAAGAAUGGUUAUCAGAAUUCAAGGCAUUACCUGACACUCAGAUCACCAGUUAUGCAGCAACUUUACACCGGAAAAAAACACUUGUACCAGCCCUCUAUAAAGUUAUUCAAGAUUCAAAUAAUGAGGUAGGAGACCUCAAGAAAAAUAAUUUCUACAUAGUGAAAUGAAAUAUGUAUACCAAAACACAUAAAUUUAAGUUUUAUAGUUUUCUCUCCUUGUGGAUCUGGAAAAUUUUCUUUCUGCUGUUUUUCAUUCUGAUAGUUGCUUUGGCUUUCCCUAUUCCCUGCCUUUCCAUAUUUUGAAAUGUUUUGGUCAAAUUUUUUCCUGUUGAAUGUGCAGUAUGUUUUGAUUGUUGAUUUUAUUGACCAUCAUCUCAGUGGAUUAUUUAUUUGAAACUUUUCUCUUUCCUG
rnacentral:sRNA from 1 species